GCCGAAGUGGCGGAAUUGGUAGACGCGCCAUCUUGAGGGGGUGGUGUCUUCGGAUGUGCGGGUUCGAGUCCCGCCUUCGGCA
rnacentral:tRNA from 2 species